rnacentral:rRNA from 1 species
AGCAGUAGCCACGGGAAUACGGAGGGUGCAAGCGUUAAUCGGAAUUACUGGGCGUAAAGCGCACGCAGGCGGUUUGUUAAGUCAGAUGUGAAAUCCCCGAGCUUAACUUGGGAACUGCAUUUGAAACUGGCAAGCUAGAGUCUUGUAGAGGGGGGUAGAAUUCCAGGUGUAGCGGUGAAAUGCGUAGAGAUCUGGAGGAAUACCGGUGGCGAAGGCGGCCCCCUGGACAAAGACUGACGCUCAGGUGCGAAAGCGUGGGGAGCAAACAGGAUUAGAUACCCCCGAGUCCCUGUCUCUUAUACC